CUUAUUCAGUGAUUGUAUGACCAUUUUAAACCGUAACCUGGAGGCACAUGUUUAAAUCCAUAAGCAUUCCAAAGAAAAAAGAAAGAUAACAGUCCUUUAGAACACAUGUAGGCUUUCCCUCUUCUGCGUAGUUUGUAUAUUGCACGUAUUUGCCCACUUCUACGUGUAAUUAUUAUAAAAGUCUUCAAAAUCAAAACUUUUUUGACAAAUCAAGUAAAGUAACUAAAAUAAUGUGUCUUUGCAGCACAGGUGAAGGUGCCUCUGCUUUGAUUUCAGUAUUACUCUUACCUUUCCAUAUACAGCCUUUGUGAACUUUCCACAGCCAGCCUCAUUACUUAGAGUUGCAAACAUUCUCAGCACAGAUGUCAUGUACACUGUUGUCAUGAUUUGCAGUAGAUUUCCCAGAAACUGAAGAGGUUGCUCACACACUGCUAUAGCCACAAAGCUUCAGAAUACGAUUGUCACCCGAUCUUUUUACUCCUUACCUGAGUGGUUUUCCGUUUGGUGUCUCCAUACUACAAUGUUUGAAUGCACUCAGUGCCAGAAACAUGAACCUCUUCAGCCAAAGGAACCACAGAAACCCCACUGUUCACCCCUAUUGCCCCAAAUCUGGUUUCAUGAAAUGACUGCAUAUCUAAAGUCGCAGCCCACAUUUCUUGACCAUGCAAUUGGUUCACAGACGUAUGCUGCAGUUUUAAAGCAGUGUCUAUGCUUCUGCUUCUGCUUAUUCUCAGUUGCUGGGUCAGUCUGAGACUUCUGAAAUUGUGUCAAUCAUUCAGUUUUAGAGAAGGGGACUGUGGUUAAAUGGUAUAGAGUGGUAGAUUUCAAAGCAUGCCACGUGUGGAUUGGGUAGAGAUGUUCAGCAUCAGCAGAGGUUAGAUGAGAGAGGGGAACGGGAUGGAGCAGCAGGAAGAUACAAUUUGGAGAGUUGUGGUCUGGAAGAAAUUGCAUUCCUCUGAUGCCUUUACUUUAAAUAUUGCAUGGCUAUGCUCAGGAAGUCCUACAUGAAGAAAUAUUGUAGCAGAGGUGUCUUCCUGGAAAAAUAAGUCCCCUGGGAAAGACAUCCCUCAGAAGUCCAUUCUUUUUAUCUCCAGGUAAGCUAUGUUGCAUGUGUAUUCAAAGGCAGAAUGGAUGUUAAUGCUUGUAGAGCAACUUUGCCUGUAGUAAAGCAGUGUUUCCAAAUCAGAGAACAUAAACAGAAGGAGCAACAUGAGAUGCAUGUAUAACUGUAGCUAUACAAAAAUAAAUGUAAGCCAAAUUUACAGAAGUCAUAGAAGUAUGUAUCUCAAGGCUGAAUGCAAUUAAGUGUAAGGAAGAUGAUUAAUUUUACCCUCAAAUCUUCUGAACUUUGAGCAAAUAUAUAUAUCUUCAUGUAGACGUGCAACAUUUAAAUCUUUAGUAAUGAAGUAUUUUAUGUCUUCUGAACCCUUAAAAUUAGUUCAGAAUUAAUCGGCUUAUGGUCAAGACUUUCCUCUUCGGUUUGUAAAGUGCUGUAAUUGCAGGCGUUACAGACCACUUGGCUUCAGUUGCAGACAGAAGCUGCAGCCUGUCUUUCAGCUCAGACUGACCAUCAGAACUCAGUUCUUCUAAUUUGUCUCACUUCCUCAUGCUGCAUUCACUGUUGUGCUGCUCAGUGCUGUUGUACAGGACAUGCAAAAACUCAGAAGCAAAUUCUGCC
ensembl:lncRNA